AUUGAACGCUGGCGGCAUGCCUUACACAUGCAAGUCGAACGAGUGGCGGACGGGUGAGUAAUGUCUGGGAAACUGCCUGAUGGCGGGGGAUAACUACUGGAAACGGUAGCUAAUACCGCAUACCCUCAGAUGUGCCCAGAUGGGAUUAGCUUGUUGGUGGGGUAACGGCUCACCAAGGCCACGAUCCCUAGCUGGUUUGAGAGGAUGACCAGCCCAACAGGGACAGAGGACAGGGCCAGAAUCCUAGGGGAGGCAGCCGUGGGGAAUAUUGCACAAUGGGCGCAAGCCUGGAGGAGCCAUUGCGGGUGUAUGAAGAAGGCCUUCGGGGUGUAAAGGACUUUCAGCGAGGAGGAGUUACCCGCAGAAGAAGCACCGGCUAACGCCGGGCCAGCAGCCGCGGUAAUUA
rnacentral:rRNA from 1 species